rnacentral:rRNA from 1 species
AACGAACGCUGGCGGCAGGCCUAACACAUGCAAGUCGAACGCCCUAGCAAUAGGGAGUGGCAGACGGGUGAGUAACGCGUGGGAACCUUCCCAGUGGUACGGAAUAACUCAGGGAAACUUGAGCUAAUACCGUAUACGCCCGAAAGGGGAAAGAUUUAUCGCCAUUGGAUGGGCCCGCGUCGGAUUAGCUAGUUGGUGGGGUAACGGCCCACCGAGGCUACGAUCCGUAGCUGGUCUGAGAGGAUGAUCAGCCACACUGGGACUGAGACACGGCCCAGACUCCUACGGGAGGCAGCAGUGGGGAAUAUUGGACAAUGGGCGCAAGCCUGAUCCAGCCAUGCCGCGUGAGUGACGAAGGCCUUAGGGUUGUAAAGCUCUUUCGGCGGGGAAGAUAAUGACGGUACCCGCAGAAGAAGCCCCGGCUAACUCUGUGCCAGCCGCCGCAGUAAAAC